rnacentral:rRNA from 1 species
UACGUAGGGUGCAAGCGUUAAUCGGAAUUACUGGGCGUAAAGCGUGCGCAGGCGGUUGUGCAAGACAGAUGUGAAAUCCCCGGGCUUAACCUGGGAACUGCGUUUGAAACUACAAGGCUAGAGUGUGGCAGAGGGGGGUGGAAUUCCACGUGUAGCAGUGAAAUGCGUAGAGAUGUGGAGGAACACCGAUGGCGAAGGCAGCCCC